rnacentral:rRNA from 1 species
AUUGAACGCUAGCGGCAUGCCUUACACAUGCAAGUCGAACGGAGUGGCGAACGGGUGAGUAAUGUAUCGGAACGUGCCCAGUAGCGGGGGAUAACUACGCGCAAGCGUAGCUAAUACCGCAUACUCUCUGACCGGCCGAUACCGGAUUAGCUAGUUGUUGGGGUAACGGCUCACCAAGGCGACGAUCCGUAGCUGGUUUGAGAGGACGACCAGCCACACUGGGACUGAGACACGGCCCAGACUCCUACGGGAGGCAGCAGUGGGGAAUGUUGGACAAUGGGGGAAAGCCUGAUCCAGCCAUCCCGCGUGUGCGAUGAAGGCCUUCGGGUUGUAAAGCACUUUUAGCAGGGAGGCGGUACCUGCAGAAGAAGCACCGGCUAACUCCGUGCCAGCAGCCGCGGUAAUUC